CCAGGGGGGUGUUUCUGGACUCCAAGAGCCCCUACAACUUGGGGAGCUGGAUAUCACCUCUGAUGAAUUCAUCUUGGAUGAAGUGGAUGGGUGUGGAUCUUCGACACUAUUCAAAGCAGGUGGAGCAGGAACUGCAGCAGAUUGAGCAGAAAUCAAUCUGGGACUAUAUCCAAGAGAGUGAAAACAUAGUGUCUCUGCACAAUCAGAUCACAGCCUGUGACGCUGUCCUGGAGCACAUGGAGCAGAUGUUGGGAGAUUUUCAGAGCGACCUCAGCUCCAUCAGCUCUGAGAUCCGGACCCUGCAGGAGCAGUCAGGGGCCAUGAACAUCAGACUUCGUAACCGACAGGCAGUUCGGGAAAAACUUGGGGAACUCAUUGAUGGGCUGGUGGUCCCCUCUGCUCUUGUCACAGCAACUCUGGAAGCUCCAGUGACAGAGCCCAGGUUCCUGGAGCAGCUACAGGAGCUGGAUGCCAAGGCAGCUGCGGUCAGAGAGCAGGAGGCGAGAGGCACCGCUGCCUGUGCAGAUGUCAGAGGCGUGCUCGACCGGCUCCAGGUCAAGGCAGUGACAAAGAUCUGAGAGUUCAUUCUCCAGAAGAUUUACUCCUUCAAAAAGCUGAUGACCAACUAUCAGAUCCCCCAGACAACCCUGCUGAAGUACAGGUGGCCACCCCAGGAUGGGCACAGGGUGUCCUCCAAGGAGAUCAGGGAUGAGUAUGUAGAGACACUGAGCAAGAUCUACCUGUCAUACUACCGCUCUUACAAGGGGCGGCUCAUGAAAGUGCAUUAUCCGUUUGAAGCACUCUUCCUAAGCCAGCACUAUGCCCUCCUCUACAAUUCAUGCCGUGAAUAUCUUCAUCUGUGAAUUUUUCGUUGUGUCUGGCCCGGCUGCACAUGACCUGUUCCACGCUGUCAUUGGCCACAUGCUCUCCAUGACGCUGAAACACCUGGAGUCCUACCUUGCCGACUGCUACGACGCCAUUGCUGUUUUCCUCUGGAUCCACGUUGUUCUCCGGUUCCGCAACAUUGCAGCAAAGAGGGACGUCCCUGCCCUGGACAGGUACUGGGAGCAGGUGCUUGCCUUGCUGUGGCCUCGGUUUGAGCUGAUCCUGGAGAUGAAUGUCCAGAGUGUCCGCAGCACUGACCCCUAGCGCCUUGGAGGACUGGACACUCGGCCCCACUAUAUCACGUGUCGCUAUGCUGAGUUCUCCUCUGCAUUUGUCAGCAUCAACCAGACCAUCCCCAAUGAAAGCACACUGCAGCUGCUGGGUCAGCUACAGGUGGAGGUGGAGAAUUUUGUCCUCUGAGUGGCUGCAGAGUUCUCUUCCAGGAAGGAGCAGCUUGUGUUUCUGAUCAACAACUAUGACAUGAUGCUGGGUGUGCUGAUGGAGCUGGCUGCAGAUGACAGCAAAGAGGUGGAGAGUUUCCAGCAGCUUCUCAAUGCUCGGACACAGGAGUUCAUUGAAGAGUUGCUGUCUCCUCCCUUUGGGGGUCUGGUGGCGUUUGUGAAGGAGGCUGAAGCCUUGAUUGAGCGUGGGCAGGCUGAGCGGCUCCAAGGGGAGAAAGCCCGAGUCACUCAGCUGAUCUGUGGCUUUGGUAGUUCCUGGAAGGCAUCUGUGGAGUCCCUGAGUCAGGAUGUAAUGAGGAGUUUUACCAACUUCUGAAAUGGAACCAGCAUCAUCCAGGGGGCACUAACCCAGCUGAUCCAGCUGUACCACCGCUUCCACCGGGUGCUGUCCCAGCCCCAGCUCUGCGCGCUCCCUGCCAGGGCCGAGCUCAUCAACAUCCAUCACCUCAUGGUGGAGCUGAAGAAACACAAGCCCAACUUCUGACUCAG